AUUGAACGCUGGCGGCAUGCUUUACACAUGCAAGUCGAACGGUAACAGGCCUUCGGGUGCUGACGAGUGGCGAACGGGUGAGUAAUGCAUCGGAACGUACCCAGAGGUGGGGGAUAACGCAGCGAAUGCUGUGCUAAUACCGCAUGUGAUCUGAGGAUGAAAGCGGGGGACCGAGCAGCAAUGUUUGGCCUCGCGCCUUUGGAGCGGCCGAUGUCGGAUUAGCUAGUUGGUGGGGUAAAGGCCUACCAAGGCGACGAUCCGUAGCUGGUCUGAGAGGACGGCCAGCCACACUGGGACUGAGACACGGACCAGACUCCUGCGGGAGGCAGCAGUGGGGAAUUUUGGACAAUGGGCGCAAGCCUGAUCCAGCAAUGCCGCGUGCGGGAAGAAGGCCUUCGGGUUGGAAACCGCUUUUGGCAGGAACGAAACGGUGUCCGCUAAUACCGGGCGCUAAUGACGGUACCUGCAGAAUAAGCACCGGCUAACUACGUG
rnacentral:rRNA from 1 species